GUCCAAGGUCUUUAUCUGGUGCCCGUCACGCAGACCUGGUCGGCUGCCCGCAUGGCUGACCUCAGUCUCCAGCCCCUCGGGAGGGCGAGCUGAUACCGUGUGGCCCAGAGCCCAGGGGAACAAGGACACUGGACUCAGGACGUCCCCGGGCUCAGCGGUGACCUCCCAGCAGCUGAGGACAGAGGCCCAACCUCCCUGGGGCAAGAUUAAACUUUUUAUUCAUGAGGACCCACGCAGCUUCCUGGGUUGGACCUUCCUGCCCCUGUUGCACAAAAGCAGCCCCUCUUCCCUGUUUUGACACAGGCGUCCGUGGGAUCCUGGUGAAUCUUAGCUUGGACUUCAAUGGGACCAUCCCUCGUCCUGUAUAAUGGCCUGAAUUGUGUCCUUUCCAAAUUCAGAGGUUGAAGUGCUGACCCUCAGGACCCCAGAAGGUGGCUGUGUUUGGAGAUGGGCCUUUAAAGAGGUGAUUAAGGACGGGUGGCCCUAAACCUAUAUAAUUGUUGUCCUGAUAAGAAGGGAAAACCAGGAGGACGGCCACAUGAAGACAUGGGGAGGAGAGACGCUGGGUACUCACCAGGAAGAGGCCUCCGGGGGCCCAGCCCUACCCACAUACCUGGGCCCCAGACUUUCAGCCUCCAGGACCAGGGGACACUAAACGCCGUGUGUAAGGCACCUGGCUGGUGGUGCUUUGUCACAGCAACCUGAGCCGACCAGCACUCAGACUCUCACCGGGUCCCUUCACCAGACAAAGGUCACCAUCCCAGGGACCCUCCGUCAAGCAUUGUGAGGAGCAUCUGAGUCCGAUCCAGUGGUUCCCGGAUCGCUCUCUUGGUCCUCCUCCCUCCUGUGUGGUCCUGCCUCUGAAAACAGACCUGUGUUCACCUCCAUGGUGUUCGCCUCUGCCUACCGCCGGUUCUAAAUGUGGAGGCCUCUCACGGACCCACUCCCCUGUGCGUGUCGUGGGGCCCGCUAAUCGUCUGAAAGCGACAGUGUCCUCUUUUAAUUUCUUUUCUUUUCUUCACAGUUGUGUCCAAGGGCGAGGGGGGCCCCCCAAGCACACUCUUUCCUGAGCACGAUAAGUUGGGGGGGUCUAGUGUUUGUGACUCAGAGAGAGUCUACAUGGCUCCUGCUGGCUGUGUCUCCCCCUCACUUGUCCCAGGGAAGGUCACAGCUGCAGCGGGGGCUCCGCGGUGGGGGCCUCUGGCGCCUCAAGCCCCCAGCCCCACUGGAUCAAGCGCUGUGUGAGAGCAGGGACCGUGACCCUGUAUGGAGGCUGCCCUGCCCCCA